GAAGGAGACAAAGCUUUUACUGAUUUCCUGAGUAAUUAAAUUAAGGAGGAAAGGAAAAUACAGAAGCAUAAAACCCUUCCUAAGAUGUCUGGAGUUUGGGAGCCGGAACUGAAUGGGACAGAUGCUAAAUUAGUGCGGAAAGUUGCCAGGGGGAAAAAAAUCACUGUCACUUUCAACAUUAACAACAGCAUCCCACCAACAUUUGAUUAUGAGGAGGAACCCUCGCAAGGGCAGAAGGUUGAAGAACCUGAAUUGACAUCAACUCCCCAUUUCGUGGUUGAAGUUAUAAAGAAUGAUGGCAAGAAGGCCCUUGUGCUGGACUGUCAUUAUCUAGAGGAUGAGAUUGGACAAGAGGAGGCUGAGCGACAUCUUCUCUAUCAGGGAAGUUAGCUUUCAGUCCACUAGCGAGUUUGAAUGUAAGGAUACUAAUUAUACACUCAAAACAGAUUCCCUAGACUGGGCCUUAUAUAACCACCUGAUGGAUUUCCUUGCGGACCGAGGGGUGGACAACACUUUUGCAGAUGAGUUGGUGGAGCUCAGCACAGCCCCGGAGCACCAGGCGUACAUUACUUUUCUUGAAGACCUCAAAAGUUUUGUCAAGAGCCAGUAGAACAGACAGACACUGAAAGACAUAGUUUUAUGGCUUUCCAGUGAACAAAUCCAACUAUGAAGCUAGACAUGUGCUUUGAAAUGAUUAUCAUCCUAAUAUCAUGGAGAAAAAAUACCAAAUUUAAAUUCUAUGUUUUGCACACUCAUUUACUAUCAUUUUUUUCUAUACAAAUCGAUUGUUUCUAGAUUUUUGUAUAACAUGAUAGACAAUAAAAU